CGCCUUGGGAGAGAGUGGUAAUCACUUGGCGAUUAGGACGGGAAAGAAACAGGCACAGCAAAACCAGGGAGGUCUGCAGCAGGGCUGGGGGAUCCGGUAGCGGAUGGCAAUGAGGCUCCUGAGGGAAGGAGGAGGCAGGGUUGGCAGGGAGGGACCAUUGACAAUGCCUGGACCUACUUCCAGGCUGAAGAAGCCUCAGCGGAGGCGAUAUGGACUCCUGGCCAACACCGAGGACCCCACCGAGAUGGCCUCGCUGGACAGCGAUGAGGAGACGGUCUUUGAGUCGAGGAAUCUGAGAUGAUGCUGAGCCAGGGAGGCGGCCUUUCCAGCGGCCAUGAGGGAAGGACAGGAGAUGGGACCCACCCCAGUGCCCAGCAACCCCCCGCUCCACCGCUCAUUCCCCUGCUGGCCCUGGGGCUGGCCUCACCCAGUGCCAGCCCGAGAGCUCUUUUUGGAACCUGUGCAGCCUGCCUGCCUACUGCCACCUGCACCUACCGCCAGACCACACAGCCUCGCCUCCUGGAUGCUGCCCCAGCCUGGCCGAGGGUCCCAGGUGAAGACCGGACGGGCCCCGACAGCCGCUGCCCAGGACUCUGAGGCCCCCUUGCCUGACUGUGACUUGUGUGUCUCCCCUGUCCCCGCGGGGGCAUGGCAGCCCAGAACCGAGGCUGGGUGGGCAGGUGACCCAAGGGACCUUUCUGGGAGCGCCUUCCCACUGGGCUGGGAACAAUAAAUGCAGCCAUGUCUCGGCAGCUGGUGCUGACCCC